rnacentral:lncRNA from 1 species
CAAUAGUCAACCCUUAGACAUCCAGGACACUAGGGAGACCACCCGGGUCCCUAGGCCACUGCCCUGCAUCCUGUCCUUUGAAUCUGACCUCAUCCAUUAGAGCACUUGCUCUCCCGCAGCCCUCUCCUUCCAGCGGUAAGACCAAAGGUGGUAGAGGCAACCCCAAAAUCCACUUGAAAGGCUGGCCAAUGAGUGAGUUUUUCAUGAUCUAAAAGGUUAUGAAGUAAAAGAGAGACUGAGCCUGCGGCACCAGAGAGGCCUGUCGUUAGAAGGAGGGAAAAACAGAGCAAACACAUAUAACUCACCCUGCCCAGGGUGCUGAGAACUGGAGACCGCCUCCCUGCCUUUUUCACCCUGGCGGUGAUGAGCACAGGGGACAUCAUUCUCUGUCUAGACAGUGUCCUGUGGCACAGGGCCGCCCUAUGACAAGUCUCCUGAAGGUCCUGCUCUCACUUCCCUCCUGACGGAAACACUCAGGCUGGCCCAGCUAACCUCACUAAGUGCCCACACCCAAGAACUGCCCGUAGGGGCGGCCUCUCCCGUGUCCCCUGUGCCCCCGGCCCAGAGCCUUCUCCGGGAGCCCACAGAGAGCUGGAGAAGAAGGAGAGCAUCAGGGCCACUGCGUGUGGGUGUGGAGCUUGGCCUGAGGGGACAAGUGGGGCUGCUUCUGUCAACUGGAGGGGCCCAGUCAUCCCAGAGCUGGCCCUUGUUCUAACAGCCACAGAGGCUCCAAGAAGGUGGAAGGGGGCUGAUUCCUCCAGUUCUCCCAGAAACUGCACACCAACCCCCUUCACUACGUUUCUGCACUCAGAGGCUGCCUCUAACCAAAGAGAGGGGCAGCUGCAGGGUUGGCACAUCGCCUGCCGUAAAUCAGGACAUUCAGAAAGGCGGCUCAAGACAGGUAGACCCUAGCCACGUGUGGCUUCAGGCUCUUGAAACACGGCUGGUCCAAAUGGAGAUGUCCUGAACCUCAAGAGGGGAAAGGGAAAAAAAACCUGUCCAUGGACCAAGCAGGCAGUAAAGGGCUGGCAGCUGUACAGCCCAAGGGGAAAACAAAAUCUGCUCGUAUAACUACUUACAAGGCAGUUUUCUCUAAAUUUCCAAAACAAGUCACCCCAAAUCAAAUUGCUUGAGAAGAAUGGGGGUGCUGAAAUAGAAACACCCCAAGUCUUGUUGCUGAAGAAUGUUUUUCACAAGGCACCAUUUUCUAAAAUAGCUGAAUGUGCUACAUCAAGCUACCUACUAUCUACUGAAAAUAAAAUAACUACUUAAAAACAAUUUCUCCCUCCAUAUAUACACAUAUUUAUUUCCUAACCCCACUUCCCAUUUAAGGAUGUAAAUUUAUUUUAAAGUAAUUUGCUUUUGUUGAGAAUCAUCACCACCACCACCACCAAAACCUUUCAUUUUCUUUUUUUCCUGCUUUUUUUCCCCAUCAAUCAUGGCUGUCAGAGGCUCCCAAAACUUUAUAAGAGAAGCAUUUCUCAAACUAAGUUAGCCCAAAAAAUUGUGAUGGAAGCAAUAGACAUCACUGCCAGCCUGCAUCUUCCUUGUCCUCCCUCCCUUCUCUUCUCUGCCAGUGAAUGCACAGCAUCCAGGAGGACUCAGGGCACUAGAAGAUGGCAGUACCUCCAGACGUAAGGAGCCCAAGUGACAGCAUGCAGGAGUUCCUCCCUCCCCAGCCCACACCUCGAAGAGACUUGCACAGGACUGUAAUGAGAGUGAGAAAUAAACCUUUUUAAAAGCCCCUGAGAUAUUGGGGUCAUGUAUUACAACGCUUAGCCGUUCUUGAUUAAUAUAGGUUAAGAAUUCCUCCAUUGUUUCAAUAGUGGUGUUUGUUAGCCCAAUUUGAUCUUUAAGCAGUGAAACUUCAAAAGUAACAAGACAAUUUUUUUCACGCUGAAGUGGUAGACACAAAAUAAUACUGAUAUUUUAAGUCCACUUUUUUUUUUUUUGACAUCACAAAUGGGCAUAUGUUUUCGUAGUGAAACUGCUCUCAUUAAGAAGCUUUACUGCUGGAGAAAAUAAGCCUUCCCUCUGUCUGAAGCGCUCCAACAGCAAAGACAGGCUGAGUUAGAGAUGCUGGCAUUCCACAGCCAUAUCCUCAGGCCCUUUUCUUCAUCAGGUUCUCUCUCGUAUGUGCGGUUGACCUAAAAUCCCAUCCCCUCUUGAAUAGCCUGAACGGCCGUGUGUGGAGUAGGAAUUAUAGUGCUUCCUCCCUCCCACAUUUAGUUUUUCUGUCUCUACCUUCAUAACUUUUAGAAGCUUAAAGCUCCUUUUUUUUUAGCAUUCAACCCAGAGAGAAAUACUAGUGCAUUAGAAUGCUUUGAGUAUUCCUCUUGAAAAGCAUUUCCUCUUUUGGAAACUUGAGUAAUUUCUAAAUCAGUAAGGCAGGCAUGCAUAGCGAAUAGGGAAAAUACUGCAGAAUGCAGUUUUCUGGCCCCUCUGGUUCAUUCUCAGGAUGGAGAAUUCCAUUCUCAGCAGUGGAUAAGUCCAUCGGAGCAUAGUAAAAUAAAAGAACGUGGCAGAGCAGCCUUUGUAAAAAUGAUAGACAUUUUUCAAAUGAACUAACAUAGUGGCCAUGUACCUACAUAUCUAAAUAAAAUACUUGCAGAAUCAGAAAAUACAGUUUGAAACUCAGUAGUCACGUAGUCUUAUAGUUAGCUUGGGCACUAAAUGGGAUGUUAAGAGAGGAGCAUAGAGUUGUGAGAAUCUUAUGAUCACUGUCUGUCAGACCCUUGGUAGAACAGCACAUCCUGCUGUGGUCCAUGAUGCCGAAGAACGUGUACUACUUGAAGAAAGUUUAGAGGAGAAUCACAGACGUGCUUAAAGAGAACGACGACAAGAUCUACUUGGAGAAAGAAAACCUGUAAAGUAACUAAACCACAGUUUCCAAGUAUAUAAAGGCUUUGCUUCCUUUCUUUGGAGAGAAAAAAAGACAUACAAGAAAAAAUGGACUCAACUCCAACUCUUUGGAGACUUGAGUUAGACAGUGGGCCAGCGAGUGCUGGGGGAGCAUUCCUA